rnacentral:rRNA from 1 species
GCCGUAGGAGGCGAGCGUUGUCCGGAUUCAUUGGGCGUAAAGGGUGCGCAGGCGGCGCGGUAAGUCGGGUGUGAAAUCUCGGAGCUUAACUCCGAAACUGCAUUCGAUACUGCCGUGCUUGAGGACUGGAGAGGAGACUGGAAUUUACGGUGUAGCGGUGAAAUGCGUAGAUAUCGUAAGGAAGACCAGUGGCGAAGGCGGGUCUCUGGACAGUUCCUGACGCUGAGGCACGAAGGUCAGGGGAGCAAACGGG